CCGCAGCCGCCGCGCCGGGCCCGGGUUGGCCGCUGACCCCCGCGGGGCCCCCGGCGGCCGGGGCGGGGGCGGGGGCUGCCCCGG
ensembl:miRNA MIR3195 microRNA 3195